UACGAAGGGGGCUAGCGUUGCUCGGAAUCACUGGGCGUAAAGGGUGCGUAGGCGGGUCUUUAAGUCAGGGGUGAAAUCCUGGAGCUCAACUCCAGAACUGCCUUUGAUACUGAAGAUCUUGAGUCCGGGAGAGGUGAGUGGAACUGCGAGUGUAGAGGUGAAAUUCGUAGAUAUUCGCAAGAACACCAGUGGCGAAGGCGGCUCACUGGCCCGGUACUGACGCUGAGGCACGAAAGCUGGGGGAGCAAACAGG
rnacentral:rRNA from 1 species